rnacentral:rRNA from 1 species
CCAAUAGCGUAUAUCAAAGUUGUUGCAGUUAAAAAGCUCGUAGUUGAACCUUAGGCCCGUGCGGGUGGUCCGUCCUCAGGGCGAGCACUGCCUCGUCGCGGGUCUCACCUUCUGGCGAGCGUCGAUGCCAUUCACUUGGUGUCGGCGGGAACCAGGACCUUUACCUUGAAAAAAUUAGAGUGCUCAAAGCGGGCUCGUACGCUUGAAUACAUUAGCAUGGAAUAAUGAAAUAGGACGACGGUUCUAUUUUGUUGGUUUCCGGGACAGUCGUAAUGAUUAAUAGGGAUAGUUGGGGGCAUUCGUAUUCAAUUGUCAGAGGUGAAAUUCUUGGAUUUAUUGAAGACGAACUACUGCGAAAGCAUUUGCCAAGGAUGUUUUCAUUAAUCAAGAACGAAAGUUGGGGGAUCGAAGACGAUCAGAUACCGUCGUAGUCUCAACCAUAAACUAUGCCGACUGGGAAUCGGGCGAUGUUAUUUUUCGUGACUCGCUCGGCGCCCCGAG